CACGGGGGGCGCAAGCGUUAUUCGGAAUUAUUGGGCGUAAAGGGCGCGUAGGCGGUCUUGUCGGUCAGAUGUGAAAGCCCAGGGCUCAACCCUGGACGUGCAUUUGAAACAGCAAGACUUGAAUACUGGAGAGGAGAGCGGAAUUCCUGGUGUAGAGGUGAAAUUCGUAGAUAUCAGGAGGAACACCGAUGGCGAAGGCAGCUCUCUGGACAGAUAUUGACGCUGAGGCGCGAAGGCGUGGGUAGCGAACAGG
rnacentral:rRNA from 1 species